rnacentral:rRNA from 1 species
GAUGAACGCUGGCGGCGUGCCUAAUACAUGCCAGUCGAGCGAACAGAUAAGGAGCUUGCUCCUUUGACGUUAGCGGCGGACGGGUGAGUAACACGUGGGUAACCUACCUAUAAGACUGGAAUAACUCCGGGAAACCGGGGCUAAUGCCGGAUAACAUUUAGAACCGCAUGGUUCUAAAGUGAAAGAUGGUUUUGCUAUCACUUAUAGAUGGACCCGCGCCGUAUUAGCUAGUUGGUAAGGUAACGGCUUACCAAGGCAACGAUACGUAGCCGACCUGAGAGGGUGAUCGGCCACACGGGAACUGAGACACGGUCCAGACUCCUACGGGAGGCAGCAGUAGGGAAUCUUCCGCAAUGGGCGAAAGCCUGACGGAGCAACGCCGCGUGAGUGAUGAAGGUCUUCGGAUCGUAAAACUCUGUUAUUAGGGAAGAACAAAUGUGUAAGUAACUGUGCACGUCUUGACGGUACCUAAUCAGAAAGCCACGGCUAACUACGUG